AUUGAACGCUGGCGGCGUGCCUAAUACAUGCAAGUCGAGCGAAGCGGCGGAUGGGUGAGUAACGCGUGGGUAACCUACCCUACAGGAUUGGAUACCAUUUGGAAACGGAUGCUAAUACCGGCUACUAAAGGAUGGGACUGCGAUGCAUUAGCUAGUUGGUAAGGGAACGGCUUACAAAGGCGAUGAUGCAUAGCCGAGUUGAGAGGCUGAUCGGCCACAGUGGGACUGAGACACGGCCCAAACUCCUACGGGAGGCAGCAGUAGGGAAGCUUCCACAAUGGACGAAAGUCUGAUGGAGCAACGCCGCGUGAGUGAAGAAGGUUUUCGGAUCGUAAAGCUCUGUUGUUGGGGAAGCGGUAAUCAACCAGAAAGCCACGGCUAACUACGUGCCAGCAGCCGCGGUAAUAC
rnacentral:rRNA from 1 species